rnacentral:misc_RNA from 1 species
GUGGUUAUCUUCAGAGCCGGAAAACGUAUAAAAAAUAGAGUCUGUCGACAUCCGCCAGACUCUACAGUACACACAGCAGUGCAUCCGCGUCUUCAUUCCGGCCUUGGUUCCUGUCUGCCGGUGACAGUGUUAUAACGGUUUUGCCACUCAGUUGCCAAUUUUCUUCAGUGACUGAAUUCA